UCCUCCACCACCAGGAGAACCAGUAGCCCCAAUUGUCCAAACACCCAAGCCUAGUUCACCUGGGGAAAGUAUGGUGCAGAUGACAGCUUAUUUGAGGUUGGAUGUUCCCAAAUUUGAGACUGGUGAUGACCCUGUUGAGUAUCUUAGAAUGGUUAAGCUGAUAACCGAUGAGUUGGGAGCUAAUGAGAGUAGAGCCAUACAGAUGGCAGGGGUUACAUUGAAAUGUGAGAAGGCAAGGGAAUG
rnacentral:lncRNA from 1 species